rnacentral:rRNA from 1 species
GCGCAGCAGGCGCGAAAACUUUACCAUGCCGGCAACGGCGAUAAGGGAACCUCGAGUGCCAGGUUACAAAUCUGGCUGUCGUGAUGCCUAAAAAGCAUUGCAUAGCAAGGGCCGGGCAAGACCGGUGCCAGCCGCCGCGGUAACACCGGCGGCUCGAGUGGUAACCGUUAUUAUUGGGUCUAAAGGGUCUGUAGCCGGCCGGGUAAGUCUCUUGGGAAAUCUGGCAGCUUAACUGUCAGGCUUUCAGGAGAUACUGCCUGGCUCGAGGCCGGGAGAGGUGAGAGGUACUUCAGGGGUAGGGGUGAAAUCUUGUAAUCCUUGAAGGACCACCAGUGGCGAAGGCGUCUCACCAGAACGGACCUGACGGCAAGGGACGAAAGCUAGGGGCACGAACCGGAUUAGAUACCCGGGUAGUCCUAGCCGUAAACGAUACUCGCUAGGUGUCGGCCACGGUGCGACCGUGGUCGGUGCCGUAGGGAAGCCGUGAAGCGAGCCACCUGGGAAGUACGGCCGCAAGGCUGAAACUUAAAGGAAUUGGCGGGGGAGCAC